rnacentral:rRNA from 1 species
UACAGAGGUGGCAAGCGUUGUUCGGAAUUACUGGGCGUAAAGGGCGCGUAGGCGGCCUUCUAAGUCAGACGUGAAAUCCCCAGGCUUAACUUGGGAACUGCGUCUGAUACUGGGAGGCUUGAGUGCGGGAGAGGGAUGUGGAAUUCCAGGUGUAGCGGUGAAAUGCGUAGAUAUCUGGAGGAAUACCGAUGGCGAAGGCAGGUCUCUGGGCUGACACUGACGCUCAUGCACGAAAGCGUGGGGAGCAAACAGG